rnacentral:lncRNA from 1 species
UCCUCCUUGACAAUGUGUAGGAUAGAGUGAUUAUAUCUGCAUAAGGCUCACUGGGGUAACAAAUACCGUAGGUGAGGCUUUUAUUGGGGACGUGGACAUUACUAGGGAUGCACUAGGUUUUACAAGGUGAUGAAUGGUUCACAUUUGCUGGGUAUUGAGGUUUUGGAUGGACCAAUGGAUUCUAAUGCAUGAAAAUUCUCUGGGGAUGAUGUAUACUUACACCACUGGGGGUAGUAAUCGCUUGAGGAUGGUGACUUUCUACCGAGGGAUCAAGGAUCAAUGGGGGACCCUUGGGGUGAUGGUUUAUUGGCAGUAGCGACCCGUUGGGGAUGCCGGUCUACUUGGGAUGUUGGUUUGUUGGGGUGGAUGGACCAUUGGGGUUGAUUAAUGGACCAUUGAAAGCAGUGACUCAUUGGGGAUGUUGGUCCAUCAUGAAUAACAAUUCACCGGGGGAGAUGGACCGUUGGGGUAUAUGGUCCCUUGGUGGUAGUAGUCCACUAGGGAUGAUGAAUCAUCCAUGGUGAUGGACCACUGAGGGUGAUAGUCCUUUUGGGCAUUGAUGGACCAUUGGGGAUGGUGUGUCAUCAGGGGUUCUUAUGGUGCUCUGAGCAUGAUGUCACCCAUGGGGUCUUAUGAGAGUUCAAAUGAGCAGGGUAUGUUUGGUAUAGCUCCAUGGGGAUGAUGGAGCUUUAAGGUGAAACCCAAGUGAACAAGGGUUGUUAGGAUGAUUUAUGAUAGGGACAGGGAUGGUGAAUGGGAUGAUUUAGGAUUCCCAUGGUUUUUGUGAGCGAUCAGGUUUUUUUUCAGUGGACAGCAUUUGUCAACCCCAAUGAUAGGAUUGAGUGUAAUUUUGAAGUUUUAAUGCAAGGGUGUGUCUCAAUGUAUUCUUAAUGGGGAUUAGGUGUAUCAAGGAUAUGACUCUGUUGGGGAUUGAGAUCAUUAAAGACCAAAACAUGCUUAGAGUCCAUUAAAACUCUCUGAACUGAAUCCAGGGUCAUACUGGAUUAAUAAAUCCAUGGUUUGGUGUAAAAGGGUUUUGAAAGAGGGGGCUACUGGGCUCAGCGUUUUGGGCUUCACCUGGCCUUGGGUUACCCACUGAGGGGUUAGUGUGUGCAGGUAGAACAAGGAGCAUAGCUCUUUUGUUCACCUUGUGUCAAGUGUGCGCAAGUGUGUGUUGGGCUCAUGGUUAAACCAUGGGCUCGUGUAAGUUGAUUGAGAGAUGAGAAUGAAGUGAGAAGAGGUGAAUGUGUGUC